rnacentral:tRNA from 1 species
GCGGGGGUAGCUCAGUUGGCAGAGCGCUAGCCUUCCAAGCUGGAUGUCGCGGGUUCGAGCCCCGUCCCCCGCUCCA